rnacentral:rRNA from 1 species
GAUCAACGCUGGCGGCGUGCCUAAUACAUGCAAGUCGAGCGAACAGACGAGGAGCUUGCUCCUCUGAUGUUAGCGGCGGACGGGUGAGUAACACGUGGAUAACCUACCUAUAAGACUGGGAUAACUUCGGGAAACCGGAGCUAAUACCGGAUAACAUGUUGAACCGCAUGGUUCAACAGUGAAAGACGGUCUUGCUGUCACUUAUAGAUGGAUCCGCGCCGCAUUAGCUAGUUGGUAAGGUAACGGCUUACCAAGGCAACGAUGCGUAGCCGACCUGAGAGGGUGAUCGGCCACACUGGAACUGAGACACGGUCCAGACUCCUACGGGAGGCAGCAGUAGGGAAUCUUCCGCAAUGGGCGAAAGCCUGACGGAGCAACGCCGCGUGAGUGAAGAAGGUCUUCGGAUCGUAAAACUCUGUUAUUAGGGAAGAACAAAUGUGUAAGUAACUAUGCACGUCUUGACGGUACCUAAUCAGAAAGCCACGGCUAACUACGUG